rnacentral:rRNA from 1 species
AGCAUGUGGUUUAAUUCGAUGAUACGCGAGGAACCUUACCAGGGCUUGACAUACACCGGAACGGGCGUGAAAGCGUCCGGCCCCUCGGGCCGGUGUCAGGUGCUGCAUGGCUGUCGUCAGCUCGUGCUGUGAAGUGUUGGGUUAAGUCCCGCAACGAGCGCAACCCUGCUAUCUGUUGCCAGCAAGUGAUGUUGGGGACUCAGAUGGAACUGCCGGUGACAAACCGGAGGAAGGUGGGGAUGACGUCAAGUCAUCAUGGCCCUUACGGCCUGGGCUACACACGUGCUACAAUGGCCGGUACAAAGGGUUGCCAAGCCGCGAGGUGGAGCUAAUCCCAUAAAACCGAUCGUAGUCCGGAUCGCAGUCUGCAACUCGACUGCGUGAAGUCGGAAUCGCUAGUAAUCGUGAAUCAGAAUGUCACGGUGAAUACGUUCCCGGGCCUU